GUGGUUCAACAAGCGCCGUAAG
rnacentral:miRNA from 10 species